rnacentral:sRNA from 1 species
CCCCUUACUCUAUUUGUCAACGCUUGAGUCUAACUUAUUGGAUAACCAGUACAGUUGUAAACUUUAAAUAUGCAAAGCUAUGUAUGAUUCAUGAGAAGCUUUCGAAUGUAUAUAGAAAAAUUUGAAUCAUUGAGUGGAAUGUGAAUACAGAAGUAAUGUAAAAAUUAUAUCAUUUAUAUUGAAAUUGUAAACAAUUUGAUUUCAGCUUUGGUACACAAAAGCAAAUAAAAUUACAAAAUUGAAAUCAAAUUAAUUACAAUGUGAAAGAUGCAUGUAAUUAGCUGACUUGCUUCAUGUAGACUUCACAACACCUUGUAAAAGAGACUACACAACACCCAUUACAAGCCUUGCAAAAUAAGAAUACCAACAUCCAUUUUUUAUUUUGCAUAUACUGAAAUAUGUUUUGGUUACACGGAAACAAUUUUAAAGAAAAUAAUUGUAUCAUCAACUGUUCAUUAAGUAGAAAAUAACAUUUAAUGUGAACAUAUUCAAGGAUAACUUUUGCAUAUCCUAGAAUAUAUCCAAUGCUUUUUCUAGUUUCGCCAUUACUACAAAUAUCAUUCACGAUAUCUUCCAUUUCUCUACGCUAUGUUGGACUUAGAAUAAUUUCCUAAGAUCCAAUCAAACGCUAUGUUAGACUUAAAAUAAUUUUCUAAGAUCUUAUCGAACGCUAUGUUGGACUUAGGAUGAAUGACUCAUUCGCUUGUAGAGAAAAAUCACAACAAAACAAUAUUUCUCCUCUUGAAAAUAUAUCUCCGUAUUCCAAUGAAUACCAAAAACAGAGAGGGCGACGGGAGGGGAAGGGACGAAACUCCUACAUGGCUGGUGACAAAUAGACAGGGAUAUCGAACCUAACAUCUCACAAACUCGAUCUCAAUCUAGCUAUAGACGCUAAUCAAGAGAAGUAAAAGAAAGUACCUUUCUAUCAGACAAGACCAUGACUCGAUCUAAAGGCGGAACCUGAUCUAAGAACCUAUCUCAACUUUUGAGUUAAGAUGAGAUUGUACUUGCAGAGCUUGACGGCGCUCAUGUUUACUCUUUUUGGUAUAUGACGUCAGGCUUAGCCGCUUAGGGGUUUAGGUUUAUGUGGUGUAUAAAGAGUGACUUGGUUUAUAUAGUCCCAUCGUUUUCCUUAUUUGACCUUUUUUAUUAAAGAGUACAAAGCCUUUUUGGGUCAAAUUGAUGAUAUGUAUAGAGCCGUGGCUAGAAA